GACGAACGCUGGCGGCGUGCUUUACACAUGCAAGUCGAACGGAAAGGCCUCAGCUUGCUGGGGUUCUCGAGUGGCGAACGGGUGAGUAAUACGUGGGUGCUCUGCCUUGCACUGUGGGUAAAGCUUGGGAAACUGGGUCUAUAACCGGAUCUGAAUUGCCAUUAGUGUGGUGGUUGGACAGUUUUUUCGGUGCAAGAUGAGCUCGCGGCCGAUCAGCUUGUUGGUGGGGUAAUGGCCUACCAAGGCGACGACGGGUAGCCGGCCUGAGAGAGUGUGCGACCGCAUUGGGACUUAGAGGCGGCAGAGGCGCCGACGGGAGGCAGCAGGGGGGAAUAUUGCACAAGGGGCGGAAGCCGGAUGCAGAGACGCCUCGGGGUGUAUGACGGCCUUCGGGUGAUAAACACCUUUCGACAUAGACCAAGCGGUUUAUGACGGUACCUGUAUAAGAAGCACCGGCUAACUACGUG
rnacentral:rRNA from 1 species